AUUGAACGCUGGCGGCAGGCCUAACACAUGCAAGUCGAGCGGAAACGAGUUAUCUGAACCUUCGGGGAACGAUAACGGCGUCGAGCGGCGGACGGGUGAGUAAUGCCUAGGAAAUUGCCCUGAUGUGGGGGAUAACCAUUGGAAACGAUGGCUAAUACCGCAUGAUGCCUACGGGCCAAAGAGGGGGACCUUCGGGCCUCUCGCGUCAGGAUAUGCCUAGGUGGGAUUAGCUAGUUGGUGAGGUAAGGGCUCACCAAGGCGACGAUCCCUAGCUGGUCUGAGAGGAUGAUCAGCCACACUGGAACUGAGACACGGUCCAGACUCCUACGGGAGGCAGCAGUGGGGAAUAUUGCACAAUGGGCGCAAGCCUGAUGCAGCCAUGCCGCGUGUGUGAAGAAGGCCUUCGGGUUGUAAAGCACUUUCAGUCGUGAGGAAGGUAGUGUAGUUAAUAGCUGCAUUAUUUGACGUUAGCGACAGAAGAAGCACCGGCUAACUCCGUGCCAGCAGCCGCGGUAAUACGGAGGGUGCGAGCGUUAAUCGGAAUUACUGGGCGUAAAGCGCAUGCAGGUGGUUUGUUAAGUCAGAUGUGAAAGCCCGGGGCUCAACCUCGGAAUAGCAUUUGAAACUGGCAGACUAGAGUACUGUAGAGGGGGGUAGAAUUUCAGGUGUAGCGGUGAAAUGCGUAGAGAUCUGAAGGAAUACCGGUGGCGAAGGCGGCCCCCUGGACAGAUACUGACACUCAGAUGCGAAAGCGUGGGGAGCAAACAGGAUUAGAUACCCUGGUAGUCCACGCCGUAAACGAUGUCUACUUGGAGGUUGUGGCCUUGAGCCGUGGCUUUCGGAGCUAACGCGUUAAGUAGACCGCCUGGGGAGUACGGUCGCAAGAUUAAAACUCAAAUGAAUUGACGGGGGCCCGCACAAGCGGUGGAGCAUGUGGUUUAAUUCGAUGCAACGCGAAGAACCUUACCUACUCUUGACAUCCAGAGAACUUUCCAGAGAUGGAUUGGUGCCUUCGGGAACUCUGAGACAGGUGCUGCAUGGCUGUCGUCAGCUCGUGUUGUGAAAUGUUGGGUUAAGUCCCGCAACGAGCGCAACCCUUAUCCUUGUUUGCCAGCGAGUAAUGUCGGGAACUCCAGGGAGACUGCCGGUGAUAAACCGGAGGAAGGUGGGGACGACGUCAAGUCAUCAUGGCCCUUACGAGUAGGGCUACACACGUGCUACAAUGGCGCAUACAGAGGGCAGCCAACUUGCGAAAGUGAGCGAAUCCCAAAAAGUGCGUCGUAGUCCGGAUUGGAGUCUGCAACUCGACUCCAUGAAGUCGGAAUCGCUAGUAAUCGUGGAUCAGAAUGCCACGGUGAAUACGUUCCCGGGCCUUGUACACACCGCCCGUCACACCAUGGGAGUGGGCUGCAAAAGAAGUAGGUAGUUUAACCUUCGGGGGGACGCUUACCACUUUGUGGUUCAUGACUGGGGUG
rnacentral:rRNA from 1 species